GAGAGACAGAAAGAAAGAGAAAGAUAUAGAAAGAAAGAGAAAGAUAUAGAUAGAUUAGAAAGCAUGAGAAAGUUAAAGGAAAAUGGUGUUUCAAACUUUUUGAGUUCU
rnacentral:ribozyme from 13 species